CUUCGAUCCCCCACGAUCCCUGAUCCCCACCUUCCCCGCCACCCUCCACAACCGCCGGCGGCGCACCUCCCGCUGCCGCCCACCCCGGCCCCAUCGUCGCCCCACCCCCCAAAACGCGAUGUGCCUCCCGCCGCGAGCCGCUCGGCCCCGUCGCUGCCCUCCUACCACAACGCGCCUCCCGCCGCCGGCCGCUCGGCCCCGUCGGCACCACCGCCGCCGCCGCGCCCACAACUGAAGCUGCCGCCCUCGCCCCGCCCCCAACCACUGUCGCCACCACCUCAGAUCCGGCCGCCAUCACCUACCAUGCAAGCCCCCACAUAGGAUCUGGUAACCAUUGCUGCCUCCGCGCGCCGCCGGUGUGGAUCCGGCAACCACGGUCGUCCAUGCAUGCGGACGGUGGGCUCUGCUUCCCAGCAGUGCACCUUCUCCGCGCUAACACCGCCAGUGGCUCAACACCAUCUUGCCCGGCCUCCUGUUCUCCACCGCCAGCCACUGGCGUCAUGCCGGACCCAAUCCAUGUUGGUGCACCAGCCCUGCACGACGCCCGUCCUCCUGGGCUUUGUGUAGUGCAGGUUUGAGCGUCGAGGCGUCGAGGCGGCCAGUGCGCCGAUGCGGCCCAUGCACCGUCCAACAACGACCUCAAAGAUUUUUUUUUUCUACUCGGCCUCCCGUCCUACGACCUCUUGCGGCACCAGAAACGCUGACGAGCACGAAGACACCCUCUCCUGCUAAGCGCUCUCUCUCCCGUAACACAAGAAGUUCACGAAAAAUCUGUUGCAAAGGUUCAGCUGUGACGAUGAGUAGAGACUGAAGAUCAGAGUGCGAUCCCUGGAGCAUUACUUGGUGGUGCAUCUCACUGACCUUCCUCGCCACCUCUCAUCGACCUUCCCGGUACCUCUUAUCGACCUUCCCCAUGGACACAAUACAAAAAUGUUUGGAAGUUCAACAAGUUUGGGCGAGGCAGCCUGCACCAGUCCCGCCUCUCCUCCGUCAUGUGCUCCAGGAGAACUAGGUUCAGUGCACAAAAAAAGCAGCAACAAUGAUUUGAUAAUUCAUUUCGAAGUUCUAUUUUGUUAGCUACUUCACGUUCAGCUAGCCUGUGUAUAUGUGGCUACCAAGGUGGCAUGCAUUCAGCUGCGACUUUGUUUUGGUUUAUACAUGUCGCCAGUUGCUAUUUGCGUGAAAAAGAUUUAUGUAUACUGGAACCUCCAUGUACUGAACAUAUUAAAAGGCAUCUCGUGUAUAUUCA